rnacentral:lncRNA from 1 species
GGCCCUCGGCCUCUUUGCACCGGGCAGAGUGACGAGCUUCGCCGGUGUCUUCAUUGAAGUCCUGUUGGUCCCUACCGGCACAUCACACACUCCUGGAAGCAUGAUCUUCACUCCCUUCCUUCCACCUGCUGACCUGAAUGUGAAAGGGCCGCAAAAAGACCCUGAGGAAUUGGUUGCUGUAUCUGACACCGCGGAGGACCCAUCCAGUGGCACAGGCUUGCCCAGGGAACCUGCUCUUCUGCGAGGGUCUUGGAGGAGCCGGUUCCAGAGGGCCCUGGCAUGUUUCAUCAAGUGCUUCAGGGGAGGAUACCGGGCACUCGGAAUCUGAGACCACCGGAGCCACAGACACAGGCGUGAACGGUGACCGAGCCCCCUCUGAUGCUCCAUGCCCCUGCUCGCCCCAGUGUCCCGGUCACCGGGCCUGAAAUAAAUGCUGGCACGCUUGACUGUU